CGCUGGAUGUCCCACUGUAGAGCGUAGUGCCAAACUCUGAGUUCACUGUGUACCUAGUGAAAGACCCAAUAAACCGACUGUUUGUAACAACCGCAGCUCGCUGUGUUUCUGAGGCGCAAACUGCUGGGUUUGAGACCUCAUCUUCAGGUGGUUGCUGUGCUUUUGGGCUUUUGGGUGAGGCUGGUGUUUGUCCUGGGAUCUGGCAGUGAGCUAAGGCAAUGUUAGGGAUUAAUCGGAGACCUUGUUCUAAGGGCUGGGGAAUGAGCAUCUGCAUUUAUGGAAGAACACCUUGUGCCACUCAGUAACACUCAGCAACUUCUGAGAACUGGAGAAACUAGUUCGUAGUGGAGGUGGGUUUGCUGGCAGAUCAAGAAACUUUACAGGUGAUGGAAAGCAUUUGGUGCAGAGGCUCAGCUUUAGGGGAUGUGUUGGCAGGUGAGCUGUGGCAGCAG